GAUCUAGCUUGCUAGAUGCUGACGAGUGGCGCACGGGUGCGUAACGCGUAUACAAUCUACCUUUAACUGAGGGAUAGCCCAGAGAAAUUUGGAUUAAUACCUCAUAGUAUUAUAAUUAGGCAUCUUUUUAUAAUUAAAACUUCGGUGGUUAAAGAUGAGUAUGCGUACUAUUAGCUAGUUGGUAAGGUAAAAGCUUACCAAGGCAACGAUAGUUAGGGGGCCUGAAAGGGUGAUCCCCCACACUGGUACUGAGACACGGACCAGACUCCUACGGGAGGCAGCAGUGAGGAAUAUUGCACAAUGGAGGAAACUCUGAUGCAGCCAUGCCGCGUGCAGGAAGAAUGCCCUAUGGGUUGUAAACUGCUUUUAUACAAGAAGAAACCUCGGUACGUGUACCGACUUGACGGUAUUGUAUGAAUAAGCACCGGCUAACUCCGUGCCAGCAGCCGCGGUAAUACGGAGGGUGCAAGCGUUAUCCGGAUUUAUUAGGUUUAAAGGGUCCGCAGGCGGAAUAUUAAGUCAGUGGUGAAAGCCUACAGCUCA
rnacentral:rRNA from 1 species